rnacentral:rRNA from 1 species
AUUGAACGCUGGCGGCAGGCCUAACACAUGCAAGUCGAGCGGAUGAGUGGAGCUUGCUCCAUGAUUCAGCGGCGGACGGGUGAGUAAUGCCUAGGAAUCUGCCUGGUAGUGGGGGACAACGUUUCGAAAGGAAUGCUAAUACCGCAUACGUCCUACGGGAGAAAGUGGGGGAUCUUCGGACCUCACGCUAUCAGAUGAGCCUAGGUCGGAUUAGCUAGUUGGUGAGGUAAAGGCUCACCAAGGCGACGAUCAGUAACCGGUCUGAGAGGAUGAUCAGUCAAACUGGAACUGAGACACGGUCCAGACUCCUACGGGAGGCAGCAGUGGGGAAUAUUGGACAAUGGGCGAAAGCCUGAUCCAGCCAUGCCGCGUGUGUGAAGAAGGUCUUCGGAUUGUAAAGCACUUUAAGUUGGGAGGAAGGGCAGUAAGUUAAUACCUUGCUGUUUUGACGUUACCAACAGAAUAAGCACCGGCUAACUUCGUGCCAGCCGCCGCCGUAACAC